rnacentral:rRNA from 1 species
AUUGCAGCCUGCAACUCGGCUGCAUGAAGCUGGAAUCGCUAGUAAUCGCGGAUCAGAAUGCCGCGGUGAAUGCGUUCCCGGGUCUUGUACACACCGCCCGUCACACCAUGGGAGCCGGGAAUGCCCGAAGUCAGCGGCCUAACCGUAAGGGGGAGCUGCCGAAGGCAGGCCUGGUAACUGGGGUGAAGUCGUAACAAGGUAAC